GGAGGGAGCUCAGUGGUAGAGCACGUGCUUAGCAUGCCUGAGGUCUGGGCUCAAUCCCCAGGACCUCCA
rnacentral:tRNA from 1 species